GAUGAACGCUAGCUACAGGCUUAACACAUGCAAGUCGCGGGGCAGCAUGGGGGUUGCUUGCCAUCCCCGAUGGCGACCGGCGCACGGGUGAGUAACGCGUAUCCAACCUGCCCUUCACCACGGGAUAACCCGGCGAAAGUCGGACUAAUACCGUAUGUUGUCCAUUGACGGCAUCCGAUUUGGACGAAAGGCUUGGCGGUGAGGGAUGGGGAUGCGUCCGAUUAGCCAGACGGCGGGGUAACGGCCCACCGUGGCUACGAUCGGUAGGGGUUCUGAGAGGAAGGUCCCCCACACUGGAACUGAGACACGGUCCAGACUCCUACGGGAGGCAGCAGUGAGGAAUAUUGGUCAAUGGGCGUAAGCCUGAACCAGCCAAGUAGCGUGCAGGAUGACGGCCCUAUGGGUUGUAAACUGCUGUUAUGCGGGGAUAAAGUGGCCCACGUGUGGGCUUUUGCAGGUACCGCAUGAAUAAGGACCGGCUAAUUCCGUG
rnacentral:rRNA from 1 species